rnacentral:rRNA from 1 species
UACGAAGGGUGCAAGCGUUAAUCGGAAUUACUGGGCGUAAAGCGUGCGCAGGCGGUCUGUUAAGACAGAUGUGAAAUCCCCCGGGCUUAACCUGGGAACUGCAUUUGUGACUGGCAGGCUAGAGUAUGGCAGAGGGGGUAGAAUUCCACGUGUAGCAGUGAAAUGCGUAGAGAUGUGGAGGAAUACCGAUGGCGAAGGCAGCCCCCUGGGCCAAUACUGACGCUCAUGCACGAAAGCGUGGGGAGCAAACAGG